rnacentral:lncRNA from 1 species
AUGCUAUCAUAACCGGCCCACUUGUAGGUUUAUGGCAUCAUAUUUAGAAUGGUACGUAAUAUUCUAAAUACCCCUCAACCUCAAGAAUACAAACCCUACUUCCUACUUGUUGUGCGACGGCAGACGACCUCUCCCAUCAUCGAAGACAUUUUCUGGUUCGGGCCAACUAUGGGAUUGGACGGUUGAUCGAAUUGGAUUAUAUAACAUAACCUACCGAGCACCCUAAGGUCGUUAGAUGUCUUGGAUUGGAACUUGCUGUCUGGAGUAGCUGAAGUGGUCAUGGGUCGAACUGGAGGGAUACAUGUGUUGGAAUUGUUGAUAUGACAUGUGAUUUUGAAACAGUUAAACUAUGAUUUCCUUUAUUGCUUCCGCUGAACAUGUUGGUUUUCAUUUAAACUUAUUGAUGGUACUUUUCAUUAAUAAUUGGCAAUUUCAUUUUUAAACUUGUUAUGAGUUCAAC